UCUGGCUUAUAGCCCAGCGGUCUCGUUAGAGUGCCCAACUUAAUGAUGGUAACUAACGACGAGGGUUGCGCUCGUUGCGGGACUUAACCCAACAUCUCACAACACGAGCUGACGACAGCCAUGCAGCACCUGUCACCGCGUCCCGUGAGGGAACCCCUAGUUUCCUAGGGUAGCGCGGGAUGUCAAGCCUGGGUAAGGUUUUUCGCGUAGCAUCGAAUUAAACCACAUGCUCCACCGCUUGUGCGGGCCCCCGUCAAUUCCUUUGAGUUUUAAUCUUGCGACCGUAAUUCCCAGGCGGAGUACUUAAUGCGUUAGCUACGUCACCAAACUUAUUAGGAAGCCUGACGACUAGUACUCAUCGUUUAGGGCGUGGACUAC
rnacentral:misc_RNA from 1 species